GUGCCAGCCGCCGCGGUAAUACCGGCAGCCCGAGUGAUGGCCGAUCUUAUUGGGCCUAAAGCGUCCGUAGCUGGCUGCGCAAGUCCGUCGGGAAAUCCACCUGCCCAACAGGUGGGCGUCCGGCGGAAACUGUGUGGCUUGGAACCGGAAGGCUCAGAGGGUACGUCCGGGGUAGGAGUGAAAUCCCGUAAUCCUGGACGGACCACCGGUGGCGAAAGCGCCUUCGGAAGACGGAUCCGACAGUGAGGGACGAAAGCUAGGGUCUCGAACCGGAUUAGAUACCCUAGUAGUCC
rnacentral:rRNA from 1 species